UCUCUAUUCUGUUAUUCAUUAUUCUAUCCUCUAUUCUGUGUCUCAUUAUCCUUUUCUCCAUUCUUCAUUUUCUUUUCAGUUUUCAUUCAUUAUUUUAUUCUCUAAUGUUUUGUCUAUUUUUCCCUUCAUUAUUUUUUUCCUCUAUUCUUUUCUUCACUUUUUUUUGGUCCAUUAUUUCCUCCAUUUUCUAUCCUCUAUUCUCUCAUUCAUAUCCUAUUCUCUAUUCUGUCCCUCAAUACUCUUUCCUCUAUUCUCUCCUUCAUUAUCCUGUCCUCUAUUCUAUCCUCCAUUCUGUCUUCUGUUCUGUUCUUCAUUCCUUUGUUCUUUAUUCUUCUUCAUUCUUAUCAUCUUUACUCCUACGUGUCAGGAGGAGGGUAGGGAUCAGGACACCUCUCCUCCCGAAAUUGACCCCUCUUUCGGCCACUUUCUCGGAUUCUUUUCAGGAGCAGCGAGUAGCGGGCUUUUUUUUAUUAUUGUUUCCCUUUUCUGUGCCCUUGAGCUGUCUCCUUUGUUAUAAAAAAAAAGAGAGGAUGGAAAGGAGAUACAGUCACACUUAGAUAAAUAGAUAGACAGAUAGCUAAAUAAAUAUAAAUAGAUAGACAGAUAGCAAAAUAAAAAUCAUAGAGGUAGAACGCAUGAGUUUACAACCAUUCUUGCCUGCUUUCCGUGUCUCAUUAAUGCACUGAGGAGCAUAAGAGAGCGUGAGAGAGAAUAACUUGGGGUGAUUAUGUGCGUUUUGCUUGUUGCCCCUCGCCCCGGUCCGCUGCAGAAGCCUGGUCAUCUGUGAAGGCUGCUGGUGGUGGUGGGGAUGAUGGGGGAGUAGGUGGUGAUGCUGGUGGUGAUGUGUGAAAGAAGGAAGUAGUGGGGGAUGGUGGUGGUGGUGUGUGGAGAAGGCUGGUAAUGGGGGUGGUGGAGGGUGAUGAUGGUGGGGGUGGUUGUGGUAUGGUGAUGGUGUCUGUGUAGUGGUGUGAUGGUGGUAUUGGUAUUGUGGGUCUGAUGAUGGUGAUUUAUUGAUUUAUUUAUUUAUUAUGGUGGUGGUGAUUUGUGAAGGAGGGUGGUUGUGGUAUGGUGAUGCUGUCUAUGUAGUGGUGUGAUAGUGGUAUUGGUAUUGUGAGUCUGAUGAUGGUAUUGGGGUAGUGGUUAUUUAUUUAUUUAUUACAGCAGAGUCAGUUCAAGGGCAUAAUAAAAAGUAAACAAAUGUGAAAAAAAGCCCGCUACUCACUGCUGGUAUUGUGGGCAGGGUUAUGAUGGUAUUGAGAGGGUUGUGGUGGUGAUGGUACAGUGAUAUCAUUGCAGCUGUUAUUAUUGUAGUAUUCAAUAGGAUAGUGGUGACAGUGAUAGCCUUUCAUUGUUGUUGUUGUAUUCCCAGCACAGUUUUUCCUUUAAGAUAUGCUGCAACACUCACCUCAGCAUAUUGUUAUUAGGCCUAUUGUAUUCUCAGCACAGUUUUUCCUUUAAGAUAUGCUGCAACACUCACCUAAGUAUUUCCUGUGCCAGAUAUGAAGCGACGUAACAAAAUAAACAAAGAAAAAGUCAUGUUCAUCUCUACAAACAGUCUUGCCUUUGAGUUGCUUUGUUGUGUGAUAUAAAUGAAUUGAUAUACAGGAUAUUCUCGGCUGUUCUUUACUUAAGGUUUCUGUGUGGUGUAAACAGAUGAUGGAACAUAUUAAAAUUAACGAAGAAAAAAGUCAUGUUCAUUUCUACAAACAGUCUUGCCUUUGGGUUGCUUAGUUCAGUGAUAUAAAUGAAUUGAUAGACAGGGUAUUCUCAGGCUCUUCUUUAUUUAGGGUUUCUGUGUGGUGUAAACAGAUGAUGGAACGUAUUAAAAUAAACAAAGAAAAAGUCAUGUUCAUCUCUACAAACAGUCUUGCCUUUGAGUUGCUUUGUUCAGUGAUAUAAAUGAAUCGAUAAACAGAAUAUUCUCGGCUGUUCUUUAUUUAGGGUUUCUGUGUGGUGUAAACAGAUGAUGGAACGUAUUAAAAUUAACGAAGAAAAAAGUCGCGUUCAUUUCUACAAACAGUCUUGCCUUUGAGUUGCUUUGUUCAGUGAUAUAAAUGAAUCGAUAAACAGAAUAUUCUCGGCUGUUCUUUAUUUAGGGUUUCUGUGUGGUGUAAACAGAUGGUGGAAUGUAUUAAAAUUAACGAAGAAAAAGUCAUGUUCAUCUCUACAAACAGUCUUGCCUCUGAGUUGCUUUGUUCAGUGAUAUAAAUGAAUUGACAUACAGGAUAUUCUCGGCUGUUCUUUAUUUAAGGUUUCUGUGUGGUGUAAACAGAUGAUGAAACGUAUUAAAAUUAACGAAGAAAAGUCGCGUUCAUCUCUACAAACAGUCUUGCCUCUGAGUUGCUUUGUUCAGUGAUAAGCAAAAUUGUCUGCAGUGCCUUAAAAUCACUCAUUAGAACCUGACUGAUCCCCUCUUCGGCCUUUGGAAAUAGUUGAUGUGAGAAUUGAAGGUGUUUUAUGAUACUGGACUAUAGUAGCAAAAUCUGUUAGGUUAGAAGAAUUGAUAAACAGCAUAUUCUCGGGCUUUUCUUUAUUUAGGGUUUCCGGGUGGUGUAAACAGAUCAAGGGCCUCAUUACCUAGUUUCACAAUAAUUUACCCCUGUGUAAUAAUUAUAUCCCCCAGCUCUUUCUAUUUGUUCUUUAAUUCUGAACUCCUCACUUCUGACGGAAUAUAGAAAACAGGACAUUCUGUACCUCUCUCUCUUUAGGGUUUGUGUGUGGUGUGAACAAGUAACAGGAUGUGGGAUUAGAUCUCUUCCAUUGGUUCCUCUCUUUAUUUAGCCUUGCUGUAUGGGGUGAACAAAUGGCAGGAUAUAGGAUUAGACUAUUUCAUUUGGUCCCUCUUUUUCUUCAGCUUUCUGUGGGGGAUAAACAAAGAACAGGAUAUAGAAUUAGAUCCUUUCCAUUGGUUCUUUUGACUUAGGUUUUUGUGUAGUGUAAACAGAAGACAGGGUAUAGAAUUUGAUCCUUUCACAUAGCUCCUCUUUUUACUUAGGUUCCUGUGUGGUGUAAGCAGAGGACGGGAUAAAGAAUUAGACCCUUUCCAUUGGUUCUUUUGACUUAGGUUUUUGUGUAGUGUAAACAGAAGACAGGGUAUAGAAUUUGAUCCUUUCACAUAGCUCCUCUUUUUACUUAGGUUCCUGUGUGGUGUAAGCAGAGGACGGGAUAAAGAAUUAGACCCUUUCCAUUGGUUCUUUUUACUUAGGUUUUUGUGUAGUGUAAACAGAAGACAGGGUAUAGAGUUAGAUCCUUUCACAUAGCUCCUUUUUUAACUUUGGUGCCUGUGUGGUGUAAGCAGAGGACGGGAUAUAGAAUUAGAUCCUUUCAUAUAAGUCCUUUUUCCUUAGGUUUCUGUGUGGUAUAAACAAACAACAGGAUAUGGGAUUGGAUCGCUUUAAGUGGCUCCUCUUUGUAUAAGGUCUUCUGUGUGCCGGAAACGAUUGACAGGAUAUAGGAUUAGAUCACCUCACUUGGUUUCUCUUAUCCAUUCUGUGUGGGGUAUGCAAAUAGCCGGAUAUAGAAUCAGAUCCCAUUACUUAGAGGUGCUUGAUUACAGUAAAGAGUUCAAGGGCAAAAAAAAAAAACACCAAAACAAUAAUGAAAAAAAAACAAUUGCGGGAUAUAGAAUCAGAUCCCAUUACUUAA